GUAGCUCAGCUGGAUAGAGCAUCCGCCUUCUAAGCGGCAGGUCAAGGGUUCGAAUCCCUUCAUGGACGCCA
rnacentral:tRNA from 1 species